rnacentral:rRNA from 1 species
GGCGGACGGGUGAGUAACACGUGGGAACGUGCCCUUUGGUUCGGAACAACUCAGGGAAACUUGAGCUAAUACCGGAUGUGCCCUUCGGGGGAAAGAUUUAUCGCCAUUGGAGCGGCCCGCGUCUGAUUAGCUAGUUGGUGGGGUAAAGGCCCACCAAGGCGACGAUCAGUAGCUGGUCUGAGAGGAUGAUCAGCCACAUUGGGACUGAGACACGGCCCAAACUCCUACGGGAGGCAGCAGUGGGGAAUCUUGCGCAAUGGGCGAAAGCCUGACGCAGCCAUGCCGCGUGAAUGAUGAAGGUCUUAGGAUUGUAAAAUUCUUUCACCGGGGACGAUAAUGACGGUACCCGGAGAAGAAGCCCCGGCUAACUUCGUGCCAGCAGCCGCGGUAAUACGAAGGGGGCUAGCGUUGCUCGGAAUUACUGGGCGUAAAGGGAGCGUAGGCGGACUGUUUAGUCAGAGGUGAAAGCCCAGGGCUCAACCUUGGAAUUGCCUUUGAUACUGGCAGUCUUGAGUACGGAAGAGGUAUGUGGAACUCCGAGUGUAGAGGUGAAAUUCGUAGAUAUUC